rnacentral:rRNA from 1 species
UGGGGAAUCUUGCACAAUGGGGGAAACCCUGAUGCAGCGACGCCGCGUGAGCGAUGAAGGUUUUCGAAUCGUAAAGCUCUGUCCUAUGGGAAGAUAAUGACGGUACCAUAGGAGGAAGCCCCGGCUAACUACGUGCCAGCAGCCGCGGUCAUACGUAGGGGGCGAGCGUUGUCCGGAAUUACUGGGCGUAAAGGGUUCGCAGGCGGCAUGACAAGUCCGAUGUAAAAGGCGAAAGCUCAACUUUCGUAAGCAUCGGAAACUGUCAAGCUUGAGUGAAGGAGAGGCAAGUGGAAUUUCUAGUGUAGCGGUGGAAUGCGUAGAUAUUAGGAGGAAUACCGGUGGCGAAGGCGACUUGCUGGACUUCAACUGACGCUGAGGAACGAAAGCGUGGGUAGCAAACAGG